UCAACCUUUACCUUGUGAAGCUACUUUGUGAAUAGUGCUGUGGGGUCAGCGAGGAAAAUUAUUGAACUUGUGUCAGAAGAAAAGAACCUGACCCCCUUUUGACCCCCUGACAUCUUCACAUCUUCCAAGAGCUGCAGGACUGAGCUCAUCCUUGUCUUCUAGCACUGCAGGUUGCAUUUAUGCAUGAAGACCUGGAGUCCCAGCUCGUUUGAGGCGGACCUACAGCUGCGCAGGCUGCAGAGCCCAGACUGUAGGAUCCAACCCAAGUUUGCAAAAAGACCUGCUUCACAGCCUGGGGAAAUACAUCCUAUAGAGAGGUCAGGACUCAGUUUUUCUCUAUGAAACUGUGGCAGCACGUCCUCCGAGAGUGAUCGGCUUCUCAAUUUCCUUGCCAUAGUGAGUGAGUCAUUUCUGCAACACUUCUGGAAAGUAACCCUGUCCCUCUACACGCAUGGGGCACAGGUAGGAUCUUCGGAUUUCAUUAAAUGAAGGAACAGUUUGCUUGUCCCAGAUUUCCAGCUUCUCUGCCAUGGGUCCGGGAGAGAGCGCGUCUCCAACUCGGGAGGCUCGUUAACCGCCCGGACAGGACGUGGUGCCGACUCGUCGGCGUCUGCCGCGGAUCUGCAGCAGUUGAAAGGGGGCUUCGCCGUCCCCCCUCCUCAGGCGUGUGGCUGUGAAAAGGCUGCCGGUUUCUCCUCUGGGUGUCUGCUGCUCAUCGCCCUGCACUCAGACUCCAGCUCGGGAGGCUCUGGAUUAGUGAGGCUGCUCUAAAUUAUUUAGCCGUUUUGCCUUGCUAGAAUCGCCGAGAACCUUUCUUUCCUCCUCUGCUGCUGUUUUAGGGUGGAAGGGAGGGUAAGAAAGAAUAGCAGGAGACAGCCUGACCUCAGAACUGGACGCAGCUGAUCUCUGGGGCGGCACUGUUGGUCCUCCAGCCAGCUGGUGUCCUGUUGCAGGGAGGACCGAACAUGCAACCACCACCCCUGCCUCCUCGCCAGAGCUCCAGGGGAGGAGAGGGACAGAGGUGCCGCAGGGAGGCAGAGGAGAGACCCGGGCGAGGAAGAGUGUACGCUGUGUGAUCGGCCGUCAUCUGAGCCCUAUUGUUCUCGUGGCCUUUUCAUCCAAGCGUUCCUCCUGUUCCUCCUCAUCCCCUCAGAGUCCCUGUGUGUCUCUCGCGGGCUCUCACACACACACUCAGAAGUGCUGGGGUUGAAAUGACGUGGCGGACAGAGUCAGAUUCAACAGACAGGCGAGCUCUCACCUCGCCCUCGUCCACUCUCUCUCUUCCUCCCUCAUUUUCCCGCUCCUCCCUCCUCUCUGCCUCCCUCUAUCCCUUACCCUUCCCUGUCCGUCAGUCCCUGUGGGAGGGAACGGUAUGGACUGGGCAGCAGCGAGACGAGCCUGUCCUGCCCAGCCUCUGCUGACCCAAUCAGCUCCACUCACAGGGCUCCAUUACAGUGCUGCCAACACACAGCCGCAGACAACAAAGAUCUGCAGCGGCAACAGGUAAUCAGCACCAGCAGCGUAGGAGAAAUAAAACAUCCAUAACUGUACCCUCAGCUCGCUGGCUGCCCCCCCCCGCCUCUGCGCCUGCAGCAUAGCUGUACCCACUGAGGACACUGGCAGGGCCAGGCGCAGCCUCCCACCCAGCACAUGGCCUCGCUUCGGCACCGCAGACGCCAGGCCGAGGCGUGGAUUUAAGAGCGCGCAGGGGCCUGGGCCGGCGAGGGGUCUGUCAUUGCAGCCACAGGGGAACGUGCGUAGAUGCAGCGGAGGGGUUCUGUCAGAUGGGGCUCGGGGCCAGCCCGCGGUCUGCAGUGACCUCACACAGGCGCGCAGGUGGGAUGAAUCAACCACACUGAAUCACCGGGCGGGUGGCGUCAUCGCGCCAGGAGGGACGCUCCACGGGGCGGGAUUGCUUCCCCUUGGAUUCUCCUGCUGUGGAGCCCAGGUGUCUGCCGCCUGCGUCAGGAGUCCAGCCAAGCGAACGGGUGCUGCAAAUCCAUCGAGCACUUAACCGGCGUAUCCAGCACACGCACCAAAGCCUUCCUGCUUAGAUAGGAAUUUUGUAAAAACAAAACGAUCCCCGCCUCUGCCCGUAUAUCAGGAGAGGAAGGGUCUUUGUGUUAAAACAAAGCCUGUUUUUAUCAGAGUGCUUUAGCUGGAGCAGCUCCCUAUCCAGAGCCUUACUCCCCCCCGGCUGGCGAGGGUGAGAACGAGUGUUUCAUUUCCUGCUCUCCCUCUGUCCUGUGUCGGAGCCUGCCUGCGUGUCAGCCGUGAUGGAUGAGGAGCGAUCUCUGGCCUGGCGCGCGGGCCGGCAUCCGCCAGUCAUCCGCCAGGCUCACUUUUUAAUCCGCCGACUUUCCCCGGCCAGAGCGGGCUCGCACCUACAGAACAAGGCAGCAGGCGAUGCCAGAGCCCCCCGGAUCAAGCUGGCUGUAACUUCCAAAAAAAGGGAUUAACAUCGCUAAAGUUUCCAAUCUCCCCGCAGGAGCUCAGAUGGCAAAGGCCUUUAGUGGAGCAGCUAAUUUCCUGUAAAGAAUAAACCCAUUUUUACAGUGUAGCCCACCGGGAAAUCACUGGGAAUGAUGCAGUGUUUCAGCACCUCUCAUCAGCAAACAAGUUCCCUCUGCUGACCUUUACAUCAUUAAAAUGGGUUUAAACCUUGCAGAAAAUGUGCUCACUGUAACUGUAUCUGCCUGUGAAUCCUAUUACAAACAUAAUGGGAAAUGUCUUUAUGAGCCAUAUGAAAUAACCCACUUCAUGCUACACAAUGAGCACCCCUCACCUUUGGUAGAAUUUGUUUUGUGUGCAUGUUUGGGAUUUUUUUCACUCCGUAAGUUUUUUUUUUUAAUUAAUUGCACAACAUGGAAAACCAUAUGGCGCAAAAGACGGCCACACAGUUCUUCGGGAAGCAACAUUCAUUAACCUCAGGUUUGUGGAGAUGAAGCCCUUCCGAGCAGCAGUGGGAUAAAAAUCCUCAUUAAAAUCCUGCCCACGUAGGCAAUUUGGUUUUAAUUUAUCAAUUAUCCUGAAAAUAAGAGAGUCUCUGCUGGUGAGGAGAUGCUAAUUAGCUAAAAAAGAAAUACAUUUAAUAUUCACUUAGAGUGUCGAAAUCUAACUCGGCUGUUCAUAAAUGAUGCAUCAGAAAUACAGAAGAUUUCUCAUUCAAGGCUUUUGUUUCCCUUGUUGAGGGUGGAAAGCAAUUACUGUGUGAUGAACCAGUGAUCUUCCGCUCGGUCUCUCUGAUCGCGUUGUCUGAGGGACGGGAACGAGCUGGACAGCACCAGCACCCUGGAUCUCCGGCUGGCCCGGGCAGGGUGAUCGCUGUGGACAUGAGACGGUUGUGCAGCUGUAGGAGCUCAGUCUGGCUGCCUUAGAGUGGCUGGAGGCGGAAAGCGGAGCUUAGUCUGAGGCCACAGACCUGCAUUCUGGGGGCUGCUUGUUUAAAUAAAUCAAGCCCCAUUCCUCCUCGUGCCCACAGCAGACUUAGCCUGGCGAGGCUGCGGGCUCACAGGUGCGCUGGCGAGAUACGAGGCUGCUGUUCUGCUCUGCCUCGAGCCCUCGAUACCUCUGCUGCCUCAGGCCCAGGAAUCCUGACUCCUCCUGCACCCAGCUGCACAGACCCAGAAACCCCGGCCAGCACUUCUCCAGCAAACCUGACUUGUUUCAGCAAGUGACUGCUUCGCUUCUUACAGUAUCAGACAUUUUUCCAAAGUUUACAAGAUCUGCACACUUUUUCCCAUGGCUUUCCUGUGCUCUACAAUAGAUCCAUUCAAAACGAUCACAGUCCCUUGGAAAGAAAGGGAUAUUUGUGGUUACAAACCUCUGCAACUUACAAGAGACCAAAAUAGGGCAUUCUGGAUUCGAUCUCCCCCCUGCAAUACAAGUCUGUCUAUUUAAAACACACUGUGAGCCAAUGUCUGAAAGACACUCCACAGUUUUGAUUAAGGAUCAUGCACCCAUUCAGCAGUGCCUUAAUAAAGGCUCAGAGUAAGCAGCUCUCCCCCACGAUCUGAGGAUCUCCAGCUGGAGAAGAAUAAACCUGUCCAGGGCGGUCUGGUGUGCUUCCGCUUCUCGUGUCGGCAACAGGGAAGGUUGACUACACCUUACUGAUGACGACAAUACCUAUUGUGUGUUAAAAAAUAUCUUAAAACAACAAAAGCAUUGAAAUGAAACAAAAUCCCUCCUUAAUGGAAUCUUCAUUAUGGGUAUAAUUAUGGUACAUAAUUUGCACAGGAUAAUAGACUUAUUUUCUGCGAAUCUGGCUCCUGCCCUGCAGUUGCUAUCUCUGAGUGGUGCUUGGAAGUACUUGUCAUUAUGGAAAUUAGACUCUGCUGUGUUUGGGAAGACAGUUGUGUUUCUUCAGAUUUGGCAUGUAGCCUCGUUCAGACAGCAGCUCUCUUCCAGAACGUAUGGAUUUCUGCAACCUGACAGAAACAUUUCCAGUGAACAUAUUCGUAGACACAGGUAUCAUCUCCAACGGUGUUACUCUAGAAUGUAUCCUGUCUUAUUAAUGGUUUCUUCAGCUGCAAUUGCUUGACAAUGAUAUUGUUUGUGAGUUUAUUCAGCACUCAUGUCCCUGGUGUUGGUAACUCAAUUCACAGGUGUGCCGUCUAACAACCUAAUCAAGUACAUUUCUAUUUGUAGUCACAGGGGGUAGCAUGUUCAGAAGUGACCUUAAAUAAAAUAUUAAGAUCCUGAUGCUGCCAUUGUUUAAUAAACUACAGUCCCCAGACCCGUCUGCCUGCGUCUUCAAUAUGAUUCUUACCUCUUGCCAGAGACUGAACUGGAGAGCGCUGUGCUGUGCUGUGAAAUGGGACCGUGUCUCCAGGGAGUGAGCAGGGCAGGAGAGUGGAGCUGUGGUCAGGGCUCAGGACUGCCGACUGCAGGGCUGGGAGUUCCUAUCCCAGAGCCUUGUGCAGCUGCCUUCAAUGUUUUGACUGCUGGCUGGCCGCAGACAGAAACGCUUGGGGCUUUUCGCUUGGAAGUCGAAUCCACAGCUCCAGGGGGACCCAGCAAGACAGCGGUCUUAUUAAGGCAGAGGUCAAGGACUGUGAAGGUCGUCUAAUAUUGUACCAGCAAUAAGACAGUGUCUACCUCCAACACACAAAGCCCUUGCUCCCUGGCCAGCUCAGGUCACUUAAUAUUGUCGUGUCUAGCUGGGAGAUUAGGCUCUGUAGACCAGACAGCCGGAGAGUCAGACACACCUCUCUUCCGGGCGGAUCAUUUUUUUGUCUGUAAUGUCCAAAGCAAAGUGUCUGUGUUUGAAUGUCUCAGUCAGAUUUAUUUCAUUAUUACUUUGCUAUAAGCAGAAGCCAGAACUACAUAGAAGUGCUUUUAAAACUGACAGCAGAAUAC